ACUCCCAAACCUGCAAUCGCUACUAAUCCGCGAUCACCAUCCCCCGGUCAAUACCUUCCCCCCCCUUCUACACACCCCCCCUCAGACCACCACACUUUCUAACACCCCAACUCGGUCACGUAACCUUUUAGCACGCACCCGCCCAAGGUGGCACACAUCAUUCCGCUGAACUCCUAAGAACCUACCCGUAUCCCAAGCUGCCCCUGGAUCACCUCCUUUCUAGCAUAUUAUACCCAAUAUAAGACCUUGGGUCUUAUAAACACAACCUUCCCUGUCUUCUUUAGUUUUGAAGCAUCAUUCCUUCCAAACCUCUUCUUUCAAAACUACAUAACACUACACAUCAGAUUCAAGUAAUACAACAUAUCACAUACUCAUUCUUUUUAACCGUUAACUUACAAACCGCCCACCCUGCAUCCCUUCCCACUAGCAGCCCAUCAACCACCCCACCAACACGCA
rnacentral:rRNA from 1 species